rnacentral:lncRNA from 1 species
AAGAAACAAAUAUUCUCCUGAGACUCACACACACACACACACACACACACACACACUCACUCACUCACACACACAAGUCAAACUCCCUAAAAAGUUUUAGAGGUAAUUUGAAAAUCACACACAAAAUGCACUGACUUUCAAAAGCACUGGUAUUUAUGGAUCUACAGCAUGAUAAUGGUUCUUCUACUUGAAGAUAAAAAAAAAAAAAAAAAAAUAGACUCAGGAGAGUCCAGUAAAAUCUGCUGCCCUAACUGGCUGUCAGAACCAACAAACACUGACCUCCUGAAGUAGACAGCAUGACUAAGGGAGAACAGCCAUAUGGCAAGUCAAAUGUCCAAGAACUGAAACAGCAAUAAACACGAACUGCUUUGUGUGCCCUACGCCCGUCAACUUGGAGGGCAUUCACUUAUAUGCACGUCAUUCUCUGGUUAAGCCCAUUUAACCUUCUCAAAAGUUAACUUUCUCAAAGCUUCUUUCUGAACUGAUGAGGAAGUCGCUGAAAAUGGUUUUCAGUCAAUGAGGAGAGGAGAGUCACGAUGCAAGGCACUACUUUGUAGGAAAAAUAUAAGAGGUUACACACUAAGUGUGUUCUCACUUUGUGCCCCCUUAACUUGAGUCAAACACGUGCACGUACGUAACUCUCCUUUCGAGGAGUCAAAACUUUGUUGAAGUUUCCUCAUCCCCCAUGUAAACCUUAACUUAUGAACUGCUAACUUUCUGUUUAGACGAUGGGUUCACGUUCAAGGACCUGAAAAUUCUCUCCAGAUUAGAAGGUAACAUGAUUAACAGAGACUUUGGAGUUGGCACAAGUGAGCGUGUGUCUGACAGCUCGGGGAACCCCUCACACUUCCAUGAUCGCCCCCAAGUAUUUCACUUCACCAACGUGGUUCCUUGGUGUUUUUUUUUUAAAGGGCGAGCAAGAGAGCCUCACGUUCUGGGAUGGGGACUGUACAUGGAAAUCUCCCCGGCCUCGCGGACACUUCCCCUCAGAGUCCCCUUCAACGCGGGAGAGCUUUGCCCUUCAGGACCGCCAAGGCCACUGGCACGGCCAGGAGUUUAGAAAUGGGCGCAGAGUCAGCCAAUCAAGGGCGGGAAAACUCGGAGGGUUGAAAAUGGGGCGCAUGCGCAAUAGCAGAAGCAGCGGGCGGGUCCAGGCACAGCCGCCAGCCAGGCUGCACCCGGCUGUGGCAGCCACGGGCAGGGGCGGAGCCCGCCGUAUAUGGGAGCUGCUUGGGGACAAACUGUGUAGGGUGCGCUCUCGGGCGGGCAGGGCUUCAACACCCUACCAGCUGUAGAGUCGCUGAGAGCAACCAAGACAACCAAGAACAGGAGCCUACACGUGUACAUAAUCCUCUGAUUCCAACACCACCUUGCGAUUUGACACAACCGACAAAGUGCUGCGGCCCACGGAACACGAACAGCAAGCCUGCGGAUUUUAAACUAGAAGCAGCGAGGUUUCUCGCCAGAGAAAUGACUGAACAGCCACCCCUUGAUUAAUUUACUCUCUGCACCAAGAAAAAUGAAUAAACAGGAAGGUUUUUAAGGGCU